rnacentral:lncRNA from 1 species
UUUAUUUUGAUAUUAUUUAUUAUAGGAACCACUACUGUUCUUAUGCAAGGGAAAAUAUAAUCUAACCAAAAAUAACCAAGAACCUACUCCUAUAACGCAAAAAACGAAAAAGAAAACAACUUUUAUGCAUACUCCGCAUACUAUAGUUCAAGGAUCAGCAAUGGCAAGGUUUUCCAGAGGAAAGAGAGUAUUUUGAUAUAGUGCGAAGCCAAGUGGCGUGUGUGUUUUUCCACAUAAAAGAAAAAAGGUUGUUUAACCAGACACACCUGCAUUUGUUUCCCUUGUAAGAAAAGCUACUAAAAAAGAUUUCUUAUCGAAUGGAAUGGAAGGAAGAAUUUCAGAAGAAAGUUUUAAAUGCACUAGUAGAAAUGAAAGAGAUGUUGGUAAAGCUCUUUCCAGUAAUUAAAAUAAUAUCACGACAAAUAGUCCUGAUAUUUUAUGGAUGAAUUCACAGCAAUCAUUUAGUGAUUAUGAUGACAGUUUUAAUGAUUUUUGGAUGAGGUCUGAAGAAUUAUGAUAACUGUCUAAACGGGUGAUGUCUGAAGUGGUUAACAAACUUUCUAAAAUCAGAGAGAGCGUCAUGUCAAUUAAAGAGACUGCUACAGUUGCCGAAAUAGGAAAAGGAAUAAUGACUUUAUUUAAAUAUGCACUCGACAGAUCGAAUGGUGGUGGUCGGUACAAAACAACACUCGUACCUUUUCCUAAUUGUUCUGAAACUAUUGU